rnacentral:rRNA from 1 species
GAACGACUCUCGGCAACGGAUAUCUCGGCUCCCGCAUCGAUGAAGAACGUAGCGAAAUGCGAUACUUGGUGUGAAUUGCAGAAUCCCGCGAACCAUCGAGUCUUUGAACGCAAGUUGCGCCCGAAGCCACUAGGCCGAGGGCACGUCUGCCUGGGCGUCACGC